GCUUCAGAGCCGUCAGAGUCGCUUCCAGACGCUGCUCCUCAGUCCCGGAUCCCCCUGACCCCUCCGGACCCGGAUCCUCCCUGUCCCCUCUCAGAGCCCGGGCCACCAGCCCGCUCUGCCGGUCUCUCAGCAGGCUCAGCUCCUGCAGACCUGCCAGAGCCGCCUGCAGGCGCUCCCCCAUCCUGCUGCUGUCCGCUCCGGAUCCCCGACGCAUCAGAUCCGGUCCACAACUCACUGGGCACGAUCCAGGAUUCACCAUAUCUAGUCCAGAGAUCAUCAGACCCGCACAGGAGGUACUCUUCCAGCCCAGAAUGCUGCAGGGUCCGGGUGCGUCCAGAGACUGUAGUCUGUGAGGGUUUAGGCUACCUGUUGGAAUGAAGAGAUGGACUCACUUAGCUCCGCCCCUAGACCACGUGACCUCCCCCUGUUAGCAAAUCCCCAUCUAGCCCCCCUGGAGCUGUCCGGACAUGUUUUCAGGUCAUGUGACCCCCCGGCCUCCAGAGGAGCAUCUAAACCACACCAGGAUCAUUACAGGAUGUCGUCAUGCUGUGAUGCUGCUGGUAGUCCCCUCUGCUCUGAGACGCCUUGAUGUCCCUGUGCCCACAUCACCUUCAAAGCACUUCCUGCAGGUGACAUCAGCCGGGUGAGGCCUGAAAGGUGUGUGAACCACAGAGCUCAGAGAAGAAGGAGAGCUAAAUGAGGACAGGU